GGGUUGUGAGGUUAAGCGACUAAGCGUACACGGUGGAUGCCCUGGCAGUCAGAGGCGAUGAAGGACGUGCUAAUCUGCGAUAAGCGCCGGUAAGGUGAUAUGAACCGUUAUAACCGACGAUUUCCGAAUGGGGAAACCCAGUGUGACUCGUCACACUAUCAUUAACUGAAUCCAUAGGUUAAUGAGGCGAACCGGGGGAACUGAAACAUCUAAGUACCCCGAGGAAAAGAAAUCAACCGAGAUUCCCCCAGUAGCGGCGAGCGAACGGGGAGGAGCCCAGAGCCUGAAUCAGCAUGUGUGUUAGUGGAAGCGUCUGGAAAGGCGCGCGAUACAGGGUGACAGCCCCGUACACAAAAGCGCAUGUGCUGUGAGCUCGAUGAGUAGGGCGGGACACGUGGUAUCCUGUCUGAAUAUGGGGGGACCAUCCUCCAAGGCUAAAUACUCCUGACUGACCGAUAGUGAACCAGUACCGUGAGGGAAAGGCGAAAAGAACCCCGGCGAGGGGAGUGAAAAAGAACCUGAAACCGUGUACGUACAAGCAGUGGGAGCACCUUCGGGUGUGACUGCGUACCUUUUGUAUAAUGGGUCAGCGACUUAUAUUCUGUAGCAAGGUUAACCGAAUAGGGGAGCCGCAGGGAAACCGAGUCUUAACCGGGCGUUAAGUUGCAGGGUAUAGACCCGAAACCCGGUGAUCUAGCCAUGGGCAGGUUGAAGGUUGGGUAACACUAACUGGAGGACCGAACCGACUAAUGUUGAAAAAUUAGCGGAUGACCUGUGGCUGGGGGUGAAAGGCCAAUCAAACCGGGAGAUAGCUGGUUCUCCCCGAAAGCUAUUUAGGUAGCGCCUCGUGAAUUCAUCUCCGGGGGUAGAGCACUGUUUCGGCUAGGGGGCCAUCCCGGCUUACCAACCCGAUGCAAACUGCGAAUACCGGAGAAUGUUAUCACGGGAGACACACGGCGGGUGCUAACGUCCGUCGUGAAGAGGGAAACAACCCAGACCGCCAGCUAAGGUCCCAAAGUCAUGGUUAAGUGGGAAACGAUGUGGGAAGGCUCAGACAGCCAGGAUGUUGGCUUAGAAGCAGCCAUCAUUUAAAGAAAGCGUAAUAGCUCACUGGUCGAGUCGGCCUGCGCGGAAGAUGUAACGGGGCUAAACCAUGCACCGAAGCUGCGGCAGCGACACUGUGUGUUGUUGGGUAGGGGAGCGUUCUGUAAGCCUGUGAAGGUGUGCUGUGAGGC
rnacentral:rRNA from 1 species